rnacentral:rRNA from 1 species
AACGAACGCUGGCGGCAUGCCUAACACAUGCAAGUCGAACGAGACCCCAACUUCGGUUGGACGUCUAGUGGCGCACGGGUGCGUAACGCGUGGGAAUCUGCCCUUAGGUUCGGAAUAACUCGGAGAAAUCCGAGCUAAUACCGGAUAAUGACGUAAGUCCAAAGAUUUAUCGCCUAAGGAUGAGCCCGCGUAGGAUUAGCUUGUUGGUGAGGUAAAAGCUCACCAAGGCGACGAUCCUUAGCUGGUCUGAGAGGAUGAUCAGCCACACUGGGACUGAGACACGGCCCAGACUCCUACGGGAGGCAGCAGUGGGGAAUAUUGGACAAUGGGCGAAAGCCUGAUCCAGCAAUGCCGCGUGAGUGAUGAAGGCCUUAGGGUUGUAAAGCUCUUUUACCCGGGAUGAUAAUGACAGUACCGGGAGAAUAAGCUCCGGCUAACUCCGUGCCAGCCGCCGCCGUAAU